GAUGAACGCUGGCGGCGUGCCUAAUACAUGCAAGUCGAGCGAAUGGAUUAAGAGCUUGCUCUUAUGAAGUUAGCGGCGGACGGGUGAGUAACACGUGGGUAACCUGCCCAUAAGACUGGGAUAACUCCGGGAAACCGGGGCUAAUACCGGAUAACAUUUUGAACCGCAUGGUUCGAAAUUGAAAGGCGGCUUCGGCUGUCACUUAUGGAUGGACCCGCGUCGCAUUAGCUAGUUGGUGAGGUAACGGCUCACCAAGGCAACGAUGCGUAGCCGACCUGAGAGGGUGAUCGGCCACACUCGGACUGAGACACGGCCCAGGCUCCUACGGGAGGGAGCAGUAGGGAAUCUUCCGCAAUGGACGAAAGUCUGACGGAGCAACGCCGCGUGAGUGAUGAAGGCUUUCGGGUCGUAAAACUCUGUUGUUAGGGAAGAACAAGUGCUAGUUGAAUAAGCUGGCACCUUGACGGUACCUAACCAGAAAGCCACGGCUAACUACGUGCCAGCCGCCGCCGUAA
rnacentral:rRNA from 1 species